AAUGGGAGAAAGAGAGGCCAGCAACGCGUACGCCAAGCCUAAAACAAGUUUUAAAAAGUAAUAUUAGGAACGAAAAUCAUACGUAUACUAAUGUAUUCGACAUGUCUCUAAAACGACCAAUGAUAAUUCAAGUUUUUUGGGGGCUUGUUAUCUUUUGUGUCUAAUGCAUUCAGCAGAUGAAAUGUUCGACAUCAGUUAUCUCAAAGUCGUGCCUUUGGACAAUAAACAUCAGACGUUGAGUAGGUUUGUAAAGUCUCGCUCCUACGUGAUGUAAUGGUCGUCGUUUGGAUGUAAAUAAAUUUUGAGACUUGAAAUGUUGAAAAAAGAGCAUUGCAGUCUUUGAUGACAGGUGCGAAUGCGAAACGAUAAAAUGAGCGAUUACGGAAAACAUCAAAACUCCACAUGCUUAGAAUUGCGGCACUAUAUUAAUUAACAUAACUGUGAAUUGUGUUAUGUUAAAAAAUAGGAAUGACGAUAGUGAACUCAAUACUGCGGUAGAUUUUCAAUUAAAUUGUCAUCGAUUAUUACUUCAUGUGAAUGUAUGAAAAAAGAAGAUUCGAUAAGUGUUUUUAAUUUAACAUCAGUCAUUAUCAAGAGCGACUAAAAAGCAACUCAGAUCGUCGUCUCAAAAUAAACAACGACACCAACAAAUAACAAAUAAAAGUCUCAAAACUAACAAAUAAUAAACAAUUUGUAGCACGAAUGAAUAAACAAUUUCAGCGACAAAUAAUAAACAGUACGUCACAAAACUAAUAAAUCAUAAACAAUGCGUCAGUUACCAACAAAAAAUAAACAAAAAACUUGGAUGAUGAAUGACAUUCACAACAAGGACAGGAAACUCACUGAGUGGUUUUCAUUCACACACAUGUUGUUAAUCCUCUCUUGUUCUUCAUCAUAUUUCAGCCCGUUGCAUGAUGGUAUUUGCAACGGCGUUGCCGUACACUCGAGAGAAGGUGUCGGUCAGCAAAGCAAUAAGAAGAUUCAGUGUCACUAUUGUCAUUGCAGUUAAAAAUAAAACAACAAGUAUCCUCGCCAUAACUGGAUCAGCACUGACAAUUCCAUCAAGAUUAAACUCGUCCCCGACGGCCAUUCUAAACACGGUAUGCAACAAAUGGUUCCCUAGAAUAGUUGAAAAUAUUGCUUAUUGCUAAAAAAAAACAAAAA